rnacentral:lncRNA from 10 species
AGAUUAUCAUCAUUUUUUUUAACUGGGCUUUCUUUUUUCUUCUUUUUUCCCUUCCUUUCUUCCUUCCUUCCCUUCUGUGUUUUCUUUCAGAGGAGAAGCUAAUUUUAUUGUUUCCCAUCAUUAAAUAUGAAACAGAAAAUCUAUAGAGAAGGAAAAAGAGCUCCAUAGAAUAUAAUUCAAAUAUGAAAAAAAUCCUCAUCUUGUGAGACCUUUGCAUUUGUCUGGCCUUCAGAGUGUGAAUGAAAGAAAAUGAGAUCUGGAACCUUGAUGCUAUUGAAUCAAACUCUACUUUCCUCGCUUGUAAAUUGGGGUAGGGUAACAACCAUGAUAAUUAUGACAACAGCAGCCAGCUUUCCUCCUUGCCUCAUACAAUCUUUGUGAGGCUUAAAUGACCAAAUAAUAUUGGAUGCUUUACAUUUGCCUGACACUCUGUAUUAGUCUGUUCUCACAGUGCUAUGAAGAAAUACCCAAGACUGGGUAAUUUAUAAAGGAAAGAGGUUAAAUUGACUCACAGUUCUGUAUUGCUGGGGAGGCCUCAGAAAACUUACAAUCAUAGCAGAAGGCAAAAGAGAAGCAAACACCUCCUCCACAGGGCAGCAGGGGAGCAAGUGCAAGCAGGAAAUGCCAGGUGCUUAUAAAACCAUCAGCUCUCGUGAGACUCACUCACUAUCACGAGAACAGCAUGGGAGAAACCACCCCCAUGAUCCAAUUACCUCCACCUGGUCUCACCCUUGACAAGUGGGGAUUAUGGGGAUUACAAUUCAAGGUGAGAUUUGGGUGGCGACAUGAAGCCAAACCAUAUCACACUGCCUAGUUGUUUAUAAAUCUCAUUUCAUUCUCACAUAAACUAUAUCCAGUAGCUGCUUUUGUUGUUCUUCACAUUAUAUAAAUGAGAAAAACCAAGGCUCAGAAAGGAGAAAAUACCUUGCUUGAAAUUAUGCUUUUGUCACAUGGCAUAGUUAGAAUUCAAACCAAGUUCUAUCUGAUUAUAAAGCACUCCUGUUUAAGUGAAAAGUUCCUUUUUCCAUUUCAACUUCAUUUUGUAUUUCCUUAAACAUUAUCUGUACAAUUAUUAGAGUUGGUAAUAUCUGCACAUCGUAUACAAUACCAAAAUAUGUACACAAGGGUAAAAAGUGAAAAUAAGUCUUCUAGCUGGGUGCUGUGGCUCACGCCUGUAAUCCCAGCAUUUUGGAAGGCCAAGGCCAGUGAAUCACCUGAGGUCAGGAGUUCGAGACCAGCCUGGCCAAUAUGGUGAAACCCCAUCUCUACUAAAAAUACAAGAAUUAGCUGGUCGUGGUGGCAGGCACCUGUAAUCCCAGCUACUCAGGAGGCUGAGGCAGAGAAUUGCUUGAACCUGGGAAGCGGAAGUUGCAGUGAGCCGAGAUCCUGCCACUGCACUCCAGCCCGGGCAACAAGAUCCUGCCACUGCAAUCCAGCCUGGGCAACAAGAGAGAAAUUCAGUCUCAAAAAAAAAAAAACCCAAAAACAAGAAAAUAAGUCUUUCUCCCUUUCCUAUACAGUAUACUUGACAUCCCUUUCCUAUACAGUAUACUUGACACCUGGUUUCCUUCUUGAUGUAGUCACAGUUACCAGUUUAUAUCCCAUGGGAGAUAUCUUAUGGAUUAAACACACACACACACACACACACACAUAUACAGCCGCCAUUGUUUUCACAUAAAUGGUAGCAUCCUAUAGUGUUCUGUAGCUUGCUUAGUAUUUCAUGUUAUAGAAAUAUCAGAAUGUUUGCAGUCCUUUUUAAAUAGACAUUCAAGGAUAGUCCAGUCUUCAAACAUCAAAAAUGUUAGGCCGGACGUGGUGGCUUAUGUCUGUAAUCUCAGUACUUUGGGAGGCUGAGGUGGGUAGAUCACCUGAGGUCAGGAGUUCAAGACCAGCCUGGCCAACAAUGGUGAAAUCCCAUCUCUACUAAAAAUACAAAAAUUAGCUGGGCGUGGUGGCACACGCCUAUAAUCCCAGCUACCCAGGAGGCUGAGGCACGAGAAUUGCUUGAACCCAGGAGGCGGAGGUUGCAGUGAGCUGAGAUCGCACCAUUGCACUCCAGCCUGGGUGAAAGAGCGAAACUCCGUCUCAAAAAAAAAAAAAGAAAAAAAAAAGCAAAUGUCAAAAAUAUUGCUGUAAUAAAUAUUCUUUGGGGAAAACAUACAUGAAGGAUAAACUGCUAAACUAGUGAGAGAGUAGGAACAGGGCUUGGCUUCUUUUGGCUUCAGCCCGCCACACUAGAGCAUUCUUUCAUGCAUCCCCACUGAUCACAAAACCUACUCCACUACCUCACUGAUGCCAUCACGUUUUCUGGGUUUUGUUUUGUUUUUUGAGACAGAGUUUCGCUCUUGUUGCCCAGGCUGGAGUGCAAUGGUGCGAUCUUGGCUCACCACAACCUCUGCCUCCCAGGUUCAAGCGAUUCUCCUGCCUCAGCUUCCCCAGCAGCUGGGACUACAGGCGUGUGCCAUCACACCCAGCUAAUGUUUUAUUUUUAGUAGAGACGCGGUUUCUCCAUGUUGGUCAGGCUGGUCUCUAACUCCUGGCCUCAGGUGAUCCGCCUGCCUCCCAAAGUGCUGGGAUUACAGGCGUGAGCCACCACGCCCGGCCAAUCCCCUGUGUUUUUCCUUAAAGAAUUCCAGGAAGUGGCCUUAGGAAAUAACCAAGGUUGUCCUCAGAAAGGAAUGCUGAACGACUGAUUUACAGCCUUGUUGCCUCCGACCAGACCACCAGGUGGCCCUUACUCAAGAUAAACAUAGCAACCAGAUCACGCUGACCUGUGUCUCCUGCCCCUCACAUGCCUUGCCCAGCCCAGCCUCCAUACCCUAUCACUGAUGUCAAUUCCUGCGCUUUGCCUAAUAAAAAAGCCCUACGGCUCUUUUCUGGAAGUCAGUCAGGGAAUUCUCUCACUCAUGCUGCUUUCCUUAUGUCUGGGCAUAAGUUCCAAUGAGGCCUUGUUUGGGAAAGCUCUUUCAACUUCAUGUCAAUUUCUAUUGCAUUGAGAGCCCAAGAAUCCAUGGUCAGUAACACUAGUAGUGAAACUACUCUUCACGUUGUAUGUGUUUUGAAUUUUGAUAAAUAUUGCCACAUUGCCUUCCCUAGAGGUUAUAUCAAUUUACAAUAUUGGCAAGAAUAUGGGUUUUUUUUUUAACAUCCUACCAACAAAUUAU